CUUUUAAAUAAGUAAGAGUAUAUAGUGGAUGCCUUGGGUCUGGAAGUCGAUGAAGGACGUGAUUACCUGCGAUAAGCCUCGUGGAGCUGGAAUAAGCUAUGAUACGGGGAUUUCCGAAUGGGGGAACCUAACUAGACAAACUCUAGUUGAUUUAUAAUGAAUACAUAGUUAUAAAUGCGAGACACCUUGUGAAUUGAAACAUCUUAGUAGCAAGAGGAAAAGAAAAUAAAUAAUGAUUUCGUUAGUAGUGGCGAGCGAAUGCGAAAGAGCCCAAACCAUCAUUUUGAUGGGGUUGUAGGACAUUCUACAUAAAGUUACAAAAUUUUAUUAUAGUUGAAAAAGUUGAAAAGCUUUAACAUAGAAGGUUAUAUUCCUGUAAACGAAAUAAUAAAAUCUUUUGAAUGUAUCCUGAGUAGGGCGGGGCACGUGAAACCCUGUCUGAAUCCGCCGGGACCACCCGGUAAGGCUAAAUACUAACCAGACACCGAUAGUGAAACAG
rnacentral:rRNA from 2 species